rnacentral:ncRNA from 2 species
AUCGACCUUGGCGAUGGACCCCGCCUGAGUUUCAGACUCGAACCGCAUUGUGCUGAUGGCUCCUGCUAUUCG